GCUCCUCAGUAACAAGGGAGGGGCGGGGUUCCGUUCGCUCUCGGGGUCGACCCCCCCCCGCCCCUCGCCAGGGAGGAGAAGAGGGGGUGCGGGUUUCCAGCCGGUGUGGACGCACGAGAAGGUACGGACUCCUGGAAGCAGGCUGUUGAGCACCUCGUGGAAGCCAAGGAACUUGCUAUGAACCAAGGAUAUGGAGGUGUCCUGGAGGGCAGUGCUUUGGGCCUGGGUCUUCAACUUGCCUUUGGGAUUUUGGUCAUCAGAAGUGAUCCUCAAUUUAAUGCACUUCAAUGGCUGGGAGACCAGGUUCAGGUCACCUGGUUUUUGCAAAUCACCAUGAGUACCACUUGUCACAGAUACCCUGGCUGUGGCAGGAAACAUCUUUGAGGGGUUGGUAAGCACUUGAAGGCAUUUUGAUCUUCUUUUCUUUGGGGAACACAAAGUGGAGCAGAAAACAGAUUGAGAGAAAGUAUGCUUUCUGAGGCACCCCUGCUCAUCUGCUAUGUCUUGCAGACACGAUGCCCUCUGAAAUCCAUGCAGUGAUGACUGGAAGGUUUGCCACCAUUCUGGGCAUUGUGUUGGGAUCCUCCAAAUCCUUCGGAGCAGGCAUAGUCUGAUAACACCCUGCUGAGCUUUAGUCUGGGUUCUACAGAUACUGAUUCCUAAGUUUGGCCUUACUGAUUGAUGCAUCAUCCUUGCUUGAUUUCUGCCUCUAUGAUGGCUGCUCCUUCUGCUCUUGCCUUGUCAAACUGAUAACUUGGAUGAGUCCAAGUUCAAGAAUAUGGAGGGGGUAAAAUCACCCUGUGCAUGAGUCCAAUGAAGCGUAUAAUUUGAGGGGGUGGUGAGGUCAAGUGCAGGGUCAAGAGUGGUGUGAUGGCAGAGGCUUCAAGUCUCUUGGAGAAGUAAUAAAAUGAUUACAUAUCCCCUCUUGUCUACCUCUGCUUCUAGCUAACCAUGUUGAUUUUCCUCUUUUAUUUAAUCCUUCCACCAGCCUCUAUCUUCUACAUGCCAUUAUCCUCUAUCCUUGAUGUCAGUAUAAUUUCAUGGCAAUUAAGUCAGAUAUUGUUUCACUGUGAUUGCCACCAAACCCCCUUCACCUCUUAAGCUGGUCUUGCCUCUCCUCCUGUGUUCCUGGACUGCAGGGACCAUGGAAUUUCUCUUCUCUGAGGGGCUGAGACUACUCUAGACACCAUAUUCUUCCCUUAGGCCCAAUAACCACAGGAAGGAGAAGAAUGUCCUGGAAGCUCUCAGUAAUGAACCAUGGAUGCCAUAGACCAUUUUGGUAAUGUAGCAGCUAUCCUCAUUGCCUUUUAUGGGUGUGUUGUCCUACAUCAAUGUUGCCCUCUCCUGACUAGGAGAAUUGGUAGACAUUCAGAAACUCCCUUUCCAGAUAAAGGGUUACAUUUGUUGGGCUAUCCCUCUAGUUGUGGUUAAGUAGUGCUUUGAACUGUACAUACCCUGCCCCUUAGUGAGCUAAGAGAGAACAUGGAUAGGAGAAGGGUCGAGGAGACAGAGUCAAGGCUCCAGAGAGAGUCCUUGGCUCCAGGACUCCUUUUCCUUGGAUAUCUCUUUCUUUCACCCGGGUCAACUGCUCCUACAUACUAAAGCCCAUGGUUUUCAUGAUGGGUGUAGAGUGGGGCAGACUAUUCUGUGAGUGUGAUGGUGGAGAUCAAGUUCUUCACAAAUGAGUUGGUGGCUUGUCAGCAACUGUCUCAAUAUGAGAACAAACAUCUUUCUGCAGAAGAGUGGAUUGGGGGAGAGAAACAGUGGAUUUCUGUAAGUGAGAAUCCUGAAAAGCACAAAUAGUCUGUGGGCAGAAAGAACAUGUUAAACAAAAGCUUGUUUCAUACCUGCAGAUCCCUUCCCAGUGUCCCAGCCCUAACCAGAAAGCAAGCAUAACUUUACACUUAGCUCCAAUACCCAAGCUUCCCUGAGGUCUUCUUCCAACACUGUCUGACCCAGCCUCUCUCUGUAAUGUAAUUAAUUGUUGGGUCUUCACAGUCGGGGCAGUCCAGGGUGGACACUGAUGGUCUAAGGUCCCUUCUUCAUUUAUAAGUUUAAGUUGCCGUAAAUUGAUCUCCUUUUCUCUCUCUCCCUCUGUCUUUCCCUUCUUGAUCGUUAUCAUUCCUAGGCCUUCUCCUUAUUCACAGGCUUCAACAAGAAGAGUGUUGGGCAAAGAGGCCCAUGGUCGUUUCCAUGUAAUUAUCCCUGUAACAACUCAGGAACUGAUUAUUUUCUGAGCAUCCUUUCCACAUUCUUUAGGGUAAUGUGGACUAGAUUGGGGUUCUAAGUACUCUGGAACUUUUAUCCUGAUUAUAUGGGUGCACACAAGGGACUGAGUUUAUUUACUUAUUUAUUUUUAUUUCCCUAAGCGACAGCUGAAAUCAUUAUAUUUUCACACUGUGGAUUUGCUAAUCUCAGUUCCAUAGGAAUCAUACUGGGAGGGUUGAAUGAGUUAAUUCAUUUUCCCAACUACCCAAUAAGCCAACCAGAUCCCAGUGGGCACUACUGGUACUUCAGUACAACUUGAGACCAGAUAGAGAAGCUGAUGUGAAAUGGGCCCUCUCAGGCAGCAGUUAAUUUGGAGUUAAGGCAACCAUGAUACUGGGCUAUGCAUGGAUCCCAUCUGGAUUUACAAUGUUAAUUUUUGUUACUUUUUUCCCUUUUGACUGGAGGUCCAAAAGACCAAUUUUAUUUUUAUUUUUUUCUAUGAGGAAGAUUGUAAUGAUACAUUUUUCUUUUGCCAUUAAAUGGGCAUAGUGGAUAUAUAAGUAAAGAUAUUUUGGGUUCUAUUCAGUAGCAAAAGUCCCUUCGGAAAUUAGGGUACUCACCAGCUACCUUCAUAGAAAUAGAAGUUGCACAAGGAAUCAAAAUACAAAUAAAAACAGUGCACACAUAAAGCAGAUAGACAGGAAGUCCAAGUGGUAUGAAGCGUUGGAUUAAAAGCUACAGGUCAUCAGGUGUAGGAGGUGUAAGUAUGUAAAGCAGGCACAGAUACAGUUAGACUACUGAAGAUAUUGCUGAAUGUGGGUGAUGAUUGCCAGAAAAUUAUAUGAGGAAAGUGGAAUUGUCUCUGAGGGUAGCAGCAGGGAGAAUGACUAGCAUUCUAAGAGUUUAGAAGUUCCAGGUUAGAAAUAAUGUAUAAAAAGAAAUACACUUCAGUGUGUCCAUUUUUUAUGGCACUCAUAUUCUGGAAUAGAACCAUUACAUUGAUUUAUUUGGUAGCUGAUU